CUAAUGUACUGUGCUUCUCGACGAUGUUGAAAACACUGGUCCAGCACCGGCAAGCCAUGAAGCCCUGAGAUACAAAGGAUUAUCGCUUGCUAUCAGAUGAAGAACUAUGGAAACACGCACACAAACCCUUCAGAUAACACUGGCAGUUGCGAACAGACCCGUGAUUUGAUCUCAAUCUGUUGCUGGAGACCUUUGCUACUCACGUGAGGGUGGAUGAAGGUGGCUCAUCAGAGCUGAUCUCCCAUGACACUGUUUUGAAAUCAGGCUAAAUCAACAGACCCGAUUCGUUGGCGUAAUCUCCUCACUAGCCUUAGUGCUUUGUAAAAUUGGAGCAUAACAAGCUUUUCUGUUAAUACCCUGUGAGAAUGUCUUUUCUUUCUUGG